rnacentral:rRNA from 1 species
UACGGGGGGGGCAAGCGUUGUUCGGAAUUACUGGGCGUAAAGGGCUCGUAGGUGGCCAACUAAGUCAGACGUGAAAUCCCCAGGCUCAACCUGGGAACUGCGUCUGAUACUGGAUGGCUUGAAUUCGGGAGAGGGAUGCAGAAUUCCAGGUGUAGCGGUGAAAUGCGUAGAUAUCUGGAGGAACACCGGUGGCGAAGGCGGCAUUCUGGACUGUAACUGACACUGAGGAACGAAAGCCAGGUGAGCAAACGGG